rnacentral:rRNA from 1 species
CCUACGGGAGACUGCAGUAGGGAAUAUUGCUCAAUGGGGGAAACCCUGAAGCAGCAACGCCGCGUGGAGGAUGAAGGUUUUCGGAUUGUAAACUCCUUUUGUUAGAGAAGAUAAUGACGGUAUCUAACGAAUAAGCACCGGCUAACUCCGUGCCAGCAGCCGCGGUAAUACGGAGGGUGCAAGCGUUACUCGGAAUCACUGGGCGUAAAGAGCGCGUAGGCGGGAUAGCAAGUCAGAUGUGAAAUCCUAGGGCUUAACCAUAGAACUGCAUUUGAAACUGUUGUGCUAGAGUAUGGGAGAGGUAGGUGGAAUUCUUGGUGUAGGGGUAAAAUCCGUAGAGAACAAGAGGAAUACUCAUUGCGAAGGCGACCUGCUAGAACAUAACUGACGCUGAUGCGCGAAAGCGUGGGGAGCAAACAGGAUUAGAUACCCUUGUAGUC